CAAUACAUCAACUUUCAGCGCAUGGGUGAAAGCAGAUGUGUUAAUACCAGAAGAUAUGAAGACAUUUAAGGUCGUUUUUGAAGGCACAGUUUUGAGUCAGAAAAGUUUUAUUGGGAUUGAUCAGCUAUUAGUCGGCAACUGUGGACAGACCCACUUGCAGCAGCACUCUUCUGUAAAUGAGUCCACGUGUGCCAAGGGACAGUGCCUUACCCAUUCUUCAGUCUGCGACUCUGGAACAGAGCACUCUAGGGGGACUGAAGAAGACUCAGAGACUUGUGCAAGUCACCUUACCUGGGACUUUGAGUCUGGUUUCUGUGGAUGGGAACCAUUUCCCACAGAAGACUUUCACUGGGAGGUGGUGGGUGCUUUCCAGAAUCAUUUAUUUAUUUUGGACCACAGCAAUCCCCCGCAGUAGCCAGGCUUGGCAGUCCUAUCCUUACCAAAUCACUCACAGCCUCUACGCCUUGCCA
rnacentral:lncRNA from 1 species